rnacentral:precursor_RNA from 1 species
UUGUAACGAGCAGCCGUUCAGCUACCCAGUGUAUAUUCUAUUUACGUUGGGUCGUUUCCUGCGGCUGAGAUAGAAUG